GCCUGGGUGGCUUAGUCGGUAAGCGUCUGACUUCAGCUCAGGUCAUGAUCUCACGGUUCGUGAGUUCGAGCCCCGCAUCGGGCU
rnacentral:tRNA from 1 species